GACGUAGGGGGCUAGCGUUGUUCGGAAUUACUGGGCGUAAAGCGUGCGCAGGCGGCUUCUCAAGUCAGGGGUGAAAGCCCAGAGCUCAACUCUGGAACUGCCUUUGAUACUGGCUGUCUUGAGUAUGGGAGAGGUGAGUGGAACUCCGAGUGUAGAGGUGAAAUUCGUAGAUAUUCGGAAGAACACCAGUGGCGAAGGCGACUCACUGGCCCAUUACUGACGCUGAGGCGCGAAAAGCGUGGGGAGCAAACAGGG
rnacentral:rRNA from 1 species